AGCAGCCGCGGUAAUUCCAGCUCCAAUAGCGUAUAUUAAAGUUGCUGCAGUUAAAAGCUCGUAGUUGAAUUUCGGGACUAAUAUGUCGGUCGUGCCUCGGUACGUACUGGUUUAUUGGUUUCUCCUUUCUGAAGAACCAUGAUGUCAUUUAUUUGGUGUCGUGGGGAAUCAGGACUGUUACUUUGAAAAAUUAGAGUGUUUAAAGCAGGCUCACGCUUGAAUACAUUAGCAUGGAAUAAUGAAAUAGGACGUUUGAUUCUAUUUUGUUGGUUUCUAGGAUCGACGUAAUGAUUAAUAGGGAUAGUUGGGGGCAUUAGUAUUCAAUUGUCAGAGGUGAAAUUCUUGGAUUUAUUGAAGACUAACUACUGCGAAAGCAUUUGCCAAGGAUGUUUUCAUUAAUCAAGAACGAAAGUUAGGGAUCGAAGACGAUCAGAUACCGUCGUAGUCUUAACCAUAAACUAUGCCGACUAGGGAUCGGAUGAUGUUAAUUUUUAAUGUACUCAUUCGGCGCCUUAACC
rnacentral:misc_RNA from 1 species